rnacentral:tRNA from 1 species
GGUCGGAUAGCUCAGUUGGUAGAGCACCCGGCUUACAUCCGGGAGGUCACAGGUUCGAAACCUGUUCCGACCACCA